rnacentral:lncRNA from 1 species
GAGGACAAAACGGUCUGAAAGUCGGAAAAAAAUUCGGCAGUGGCUAGAAAUUGAUGGAAACGGUGGGGAAAAACACAUGAACUAGACUCUAGCAAGGCCUAACCAGCAACAAGACAUCGACUAGGACACAAACUCAACACUGCAGACUCUAAGACUGAAAUAUGCAAAGGCUAUGGCUUGAAAGGUUUGUAGGACAGGAAAACGAUAUGACACUGGACUUAUAGGACGAACACAAGAACACUCAAAACUAAGGAUAGAUGUGAAUCUAACGGUAUACCUAAAGCUUUGAUUACCACUUGAUGAGAACAAGGGUGGCCUGAUCUUCCGAAAGGUUCUAGUAACUCUCGAUUUGGUGGAGACGAGACACAAAUCGAUUUGGCUUUCGAACAACACGAUCCGAAACCCUGCAUUUUUUUAUUUUUUUUAUAUUUUUCUUUUACCUAGGAGCACUAAAAAGUAACCACAAAAAAUUUGUGCUUAAACAAGUGAAAGACGUGGCCUGCAGAAUUUUCUAAAGAUUGCGAAAAAUGUGAAAAAAACUUCAUGAGGAGAAAACUCAAACUUUGGAGGCAAAUUUCAAGAUAAAAUUAUCAAACCCGCUAAAGUCACAGACAGACAGAUCUGAAAUUUUUUUAUGAUCGAAUUUGAUAUAGGUAACGUUGAAAUCAGAGUUUGUAUGUGAAAGUUAUGGUUUGUUUACAAAUGCACUUCGAAAUACAGGAAAAAACGGUCCAGAAGUGGGAAAAAUUUGCGGCGCUGGCUAGAAAUUGAUGGAAACGGUGGGGAAAACACACGAACUGGACUCUAACAAGACCUAACCAGCAACAAGACCUCGACCAGGACACAAACUCAACACUGCGGACUCUGAAACUGAAAUAUGCAAAGGUUAUGGCGCGGAAGGGAUGUAGGACAGGAAAACGAUAUGGCACUGGACUUAUGGGACGAACACAAGAACACUCAAAACUAAGGGUAGACAUGAACCUAACGGUAUACCUGAAGCUUUGAUUACCACUUGAUGAGAACAAGGGUGGCCCGAUCUUUCGAAAGGUUCUGGUAACUCUUGAUUUAGUGGAGACGAGACACAAAUCGAUCCGGCUUCGGAACAACACGAUCCGAAACCCUGCAAUUUUUUUUAUUUUUUUGAUAUUUUAUUUUACUUAGGAGCACUAAAGAAGUAACCACAAAAAAUUUGAGCUUAAACAAGUGAAACACAUGGCCUGCGGAAUUUUCUGAAGAUUGCGAAAAAUAUGAAAAAAACUUCACGAGGUUAAAACUCAAACUUCGGAGGCGAAUUUGGAGAUUCUAAAAUUUUCAAGCCCGCUAGUACUAGGGACAGGCAGAUCCAAAAAUUUUUCUGAUCGAUUUUGAUAUAUAGAACGUUGAAUUCAGAGUUCGUAUGCGAAAGUUGUAGCUGUUUUAUGAACAGACUCCAAAUUAGAGGACAAAAUGGUCCGAAAGUGGGAAAAAUUUGUGGCGGUGGCUAGAAAUUGAUAGAAACGGUGGGAAAAACACACGAACUGGACUCUAACAAGACCUAACCAGCAACAAGACCUCAACUAGGACACAAACUCAACACCGCGGACUCUAAAACUGAAAUAUGCAAAGGCUAUGGCGCGGAAGGGUUGUAGGACAGGAAAACAAUAUGGCACUAUACUUAUGGGACAAACACAAGAACACUCGAAACUAAGAGUAGAUGUGAACCUAACGGUAUACCUAAAGCUUUGAUUACCACUUGAUGAGAAGAAGGGUGGCCCGAUCUUCCGAAAGGUUCUAGUAACUCUCGAUUUGGUGGAGACGAGACACAAAUCGAUCCGGCUUGCGAACAACACGAUCCGAAACCCUGCAAUUUUAUUUUAUUUUUUCGAUAUUUUUCUUUUACUUAGGAGCACUGAAUAAGUAACCAUAGAAAAUUUGAGCUUAAACAAGUGAAAUACGUGGCCUGCGGAAUUUUUUGAAGAUUGCAAAAAAUGUGAAAAAACAUCACGAGGUGAAAACUCAAACUUCGGAGGCAAAUUUAUAGAUUCUAAAAUUUUCAAACCUGCCAAUGGAAGGAACAGACAGAUCAAAAAAAAAUUUUUAGAUCGAUUUUGCUAUAUGGAACGUUGAAAUCGGAGUUCAUAUGUGAAAGUUAUGGUUGUUUUAAUAACGGACUCCGAAUUAGAGGACAAAACGGUGCGAAAGUGGGAAAAAAUUUCGGCAGUGGCUAGAAAUUGAUGGAAACGGUGGGGAAAAACACACGAACUGGACUCUAACAAGACCUAACCAGCAACAAGACAUCGACUAGGACACAAACUCAACACUGCGGACUCUAAGACUAAAAUAUGCAAAGGCUAUGGCUUGAAAGGUUUGUAGGACAGGAAAACGAUAUGACACUGGACUUAUGGGACGAACACAAGAACACUCAAAACUAAGGAUAGAUGUGAAUCUAACGAUAUACCUAAAGCUUUGAUUACCACUUGAUGAGAACAAGGGUGGCCUGAUCUUCCGAAAGGUUCUAGUAACUCUCGAUUUGGUGGAGACGAGACACAAAUCGAUUUGGCUUUCGAACAACCCGAUCCGAAACCCUGCAUUUUUUUUAUUUUUUUUAUAUUUUUCUUUUACCUAGGAGCACUAAAAAGUAACCACAAAAAAUUUGUGCUUAAACAAGUGAAAGACGUGGCCUGCAGAAUUUUCUGAAGAUUGCGAAAAAUGUGAAAAAACUUCAUGAGGAGAAAACUCAAACUUUGGAGGCAAAUUUUAAGAUAAAAUUAUCGAACCCGCUAAAGUCACAUACAGACAGAUCUGAAAUUUUUUUAUGAUCGAAUUUGAUAUAGGUAACGUUGAAAUCAGAGUUUGUAUGUGAAAGUUAUGGUUUGUUUACAAAUGCACUCCGAAAUAGAGGAAAAACGGUCCAGAAGUGGGAAAAAUUUGCGGCGCUGGCUAGAAAUUGAUGAAAAUAGUGGGGAAAAACACACGAACAGGACUCUAACAAGACCCAACCAGCAACAAGACCUCGACCAGGACACAAACUCAACACUGCGGACUCUGAAACUGAAAUAUGCAAAAGCUACGGCGCGGAAGGGAUGUAGGACAAGAAAACGAUAUGGCACUAGACUUAUGGGACGAACACAAGAACACUCGAAACUAAGGGUAGAUGUGAACCUAACGGUAUACCUGAAGCUUUGAUUACCACUUGAUGAGAACAAGGGUGGCCCGAUCUUCCGAAAGGUUCUGGUAACUCUCGAUUUAGUGGAGACGAGACACAAAUCGAUCCGGCUUCAGAACAACACGAUCCAAAACCCUACAAUUUUUUUUAUUUUUUUUGAUAUUUUAUUUUACUUAGGAGCACUAAAGAAGUAACCACGGAAAAUUUGAGCUUAAACAAGUGAAAGACAUGGCCUGCGGAAUUUUCUGAAGAUUGCGAAAAAUGUGAAAAAAACUUCACGAGGUUAAAACUCAAACUUCGGAGGCGAAUUUGGAGAUUCUAAAAUUUUCAAGCCCGCUAGUACUAGGGACAGGCAGAUCCAAAAAUUUUUCUGAUCGAUUUUGAUAUAUAGAACGUUGAAAUCAGAGUUCGUUGCGAAAGUUGUGGCUGUUUUAUGAACAGACUCCAAAUUAGAGGACAAAACGGUCUGAAAGUGGGAAAAAAUUGUGGCGGUGGCUAGAAAUUGAUGGAAACGGUGGGAAAAAACACACGAACUAGACUCUAACAAGACCUAACCAGCAACAAGACCUCAACUAGGACACAAACUCAACACCGCGGACUCUGAAACUGAAAUAUGAAAAGGCUAUGGCACGGAAGGGUUGUAGAACAGGAAAACAAUAUGGCACUAUACUUAUGGGACAAACACAAGAACACUCAAAACUAAGAGUAGAUGUGAACCUAACGGUAUACCUAAAGCUUUGAUUACCACUUGAUGAGAACAAGGGUGACCCGAUCUUCCGAAAGGUUCUAGUAACUCUCGAUUUGGUGGAGACGAGACACAAAUCGAUUUGGCUUUCGAACAACACGAUCCGAAACCCUGCAUUUUUUUAUUUUUUUUAUAUUUUUCUUUUACCUAGGAGCACUAAAAAGUAACCACAAAAAAUUUGUGCUUAAACAAGUGAAAGACGUGGCCUGCAGAAUUUUCUAAAGAUUGCGAAAAAUGUGAAAAAACUUCAUGAGGAGAAAACUCAAACUUUGGAGGCAAAUUUCAAGAUAAAAUUAUCAAACCCGCUAAAGUCACAGACAGACAGAUCUGAAAUUUUUUUAUGCU